GCUCUGGUGGCCUAGUGGUUAGAGCAUCUGCCUCGGAUGACAGAGGUCGUGGGUUCAAACCCAGGCCAAGUCA